UAAAUUCGGUAUUCAGUUUUACAAUGGUGCAUGUCUCUUGAUAAUCAAUCUCGUAAGUUUUAGUAUAUCCUUUGGCCACCAAUCUUGCCUUGUAUCUUGAUAGUCCCAUCAGUUUUAUAUUUUAUAGUAGAGAACCCGUUUAUGACCCACAACUCUUUUCCUUUUAGGUAGAUCAACUACUUGACAAGUGUAAUUUUUUUUCAAGUGUCUACCUUGAAAUUAGGUAGAUCAUAAUAUUUUCUCAUUUCUCAUUAGUUAAAACCUCAGAUAAUGUCGUUGGGAUCGAUAUUUUUUAUUGAGCAGGAGAAUAGUUUUCAAAAGACACAAAGUUGAAAAUUGGAUAGAUCGAAUGUUUAGUGCAUUUUAUAGUCAUUUUUCUAAGUGUAAUAGGUUAUCAGUAUCAAAAGAAGAGUGAUUCUCAGGUUCCAUCUCACUUCCAGUGCUCAACUCAGAAUCUUAAACCUUCUUUGGACUAGAGUUGGAGUUUUUCUUUCUUGAAUACACUUGGGUGAAACAUGGGUCCUGUACGAGUUGAGGUUUAGACUCAUCUUGUAAGGCUUGAGGCUUAACCUAAUUUUGUGGGUUCUAAUUUUUUGGUGAAAUGGUGGGCUAAUAUUAUAUACAAAGUGUUUAACAAUAGAGGAAGAAUGUCAAAAAAUGAGUCUCUUGAGUUUCUCUUAUCUUCUAGUAUAGUCUUCUUUUGAAGAUAAAGUUUGUCAAAAAAAAAAAACUCAAUCUCAACAAAAGUCAACGUAAGUAAAAUUUCUUUAUGGAUCGGUGGUAGCACUUGUAUCCUUUUUGAGUGGAUGAAUAUCUCAUAAAUACAUACUUAAUGGUCUUGACUUGAGUUUUCCUCUCGAGAGUUAUGUAUGUCAACAUAAGCAAUGCACCCAAGGGCAUGAGGGAUAAGGUUAUUGGUGGCUUGUACUUCAGGAAAGAGUAUAGCUAGAACCUCUAUCAGAUUUCAAAGAGUAGUAUUUUAGAAGGUAACCGGCUGAUAAGAUAUGUGGCAUUUAAAACGGCUUCCACUUAAUAAUAUUUAGGUACAUGGUUUUGAAACAAGAAAACAUGUGCGGUAGUCAAAAAGUUGUUUUUUUCUUUUUGCAACUCCAUUUUGUUGUGGAGUAUGGACAUAAGAAG
rnacentral:lncRNA from 1 species